AAACUUGAGAGUUUGAUCCUGGCUCAGAACGAACGCUGGCGGCAGGCUUAACACAUGCAAGUCGAACGCGUGUAGCAAUACACGAGUGGCGCACGGGUGAGUAACGCGUGGAUAUCUGCCUUUUGGUUCGGAAUAACUCCGGGAAACUGGAGCUAAUACCGGAUGGUUCCUACGGGAUAAAGAUUUAUCGCCAAAAGAUGAGUCCGCGUACGAUUAGCUAGUUGGUGGGGUAAUGGCCCACCAAGGCGACGAUCUGUAGCUGGUCUGAGAGGACGACCAGCCACACUGGGACUGAGACACGGCCCAGACUCCUACGGGAGGCAGCAGUGGGGAAUUUUGGACAAUGGGCGAAAGCCUGAUCCAGCCAUGCCGCGUGCAGGAUGAAGGCCUUCGGGUUGUAAACUGCUUUUGUACGGAACGAAACGGCGAGCUCUAAUACAGUUUGCUAAUGACGGUACCGUAAGAAUAAGCACCGGCUAACUACGUGCCAGCAGCCGCGGUAAUACGUAGGGUGCAGCGUUAAUCGGAAUUACUGGGCGUAAAGCGUGCGCAGGCGGUUAUGUAAGACAGAUGUGAAAUCCCCGGGCUAACCUGGGACCUGCAUUUGUGACUGCAUAGCUAGAGUACGGUAGAGGGGGAUGGAAUUCCGCGUGUAGCAGUGAAAUGCGUAGAUAUGCGGAGG
rnacentral:ncRNA from 1 species